rnacentral:lncRNA from 1 species
AAGUUCUCAAAAAAUAAAAGUGCCCCUAAAAACAGGGUGACAUGGCCAAGGGACCAGAGACUGGACCCUCUGGAUCUCACAGAUAAAAUGAACCAAUCUCCUUCCAAGCUGAUGAGCUGGAUAAGGCUUUACAGAUGGAAGAGUGAACAACAUCAAGUCCAAGAUCAGGCCACCAUGUCUGGGCUCUGGCAAGGGCUCCCUCUUUGGCUUACAGGUGGUAGCCUCCUCACAGGCCAGAGUAAGAGCUCUGUGUCUCCUCUUCUUGCAAGGCUCCAUCUCUGCCAGGUAUUCCUGACGACAGAUCUAACCCCAUCCUUUUCCUGAAAUAUUACCAGGCUUCGUAUCCUCGGAAACGCCCUUUGUUAAGUAGAAACGCCUCCUAAGAAACAGGCGAAGCUGACGGAAUAUAAAGGUCUAUUACUAACCACAGUGCAACUGGAGUGCUAUGAAGGGCAAAAAUGGAAAGAAGGAGGAGGAAAGACAACGGUGAAGUAGUUUAUGCCAAGAUCCAGUUGCCAUUUUUACACAGACCUUUCUUACCACUGGAAUAAAGCAUUGUAAGAUACAGGAUACCUAUGAGCAGUGAAGCUGGGAGACAGGUCCUAGAUAGAAGGCAAACAUUCUUCCUGUUUGGACACCUUGACAAAAUGUCGUAAAACUCAUUCCCAGCUUUUGUGAUAAAACCUCAAGUUUAAACAC